GAUGAACGCUGGCGGCGUGCCUAAUACAUGCAAGUCGAGCGGGCGGGCGAGGAGCUUGCUGCUCGGAUGUUAGCGGCGGAGGGGUGAGUAACACGUGGAUAACGUACCUAUAAGAGGGGUAUAACUUCGGGAAACAGGAGCUAAUACCGGAUAAGAUUUUGAACCGCAUGGGUCAAAAGUGAAAGACGGUCUUUCUGUCACUAAUAGAUGGAUCCGCGCUGCAUUAGCUAGUUGGUAAGGUAACGGCUUACCAAGGCAACGAGGCAUAGCCGACCUGAGAGGCUGAUCGGCCACCCUGGAACUGAGCCACGCUCCAGACUCCUACGGGAGGACGCAGUAGGGAAUCUUCCGCAAUGGGCGGAAGCCUGACGGAGCAACGCCGAGUGAGUGAUGAAGGUCUUCGGAUCGUAAAACUCUGUUAUUAGGGAAGAACAUAUGUGUAAGUAACUGUGCAGAUCUUGACGGUACCUAAUCAGAAAGCCACGGCUAACUACGUG
rnacentral:rRNA from 1 species